UGUGUAGGCGGCUUUUUAAGUUUGGUGUGAAAUCUCCCGGCUCAACUGGGAGGGUGCGCCGAGAACUGAAAGGCUAGAGUGCGGGAGAGGAGAGUGGAAUUCCUGGUGUAGCGGUGAAAUGCGUAGAUAUCAGGAGGAACACCGGUGGUGUAGACGGCUCUCUGGACCGUAACUGACGCUGAGACACGAAAGCGUGGGUAGCAAACAGGAUUAGAUACCCUGGUAGUCCACGCCCUAAACGAUGCAUAUUUGGUGUGGGUCAUUCAGUUGAUCCGUGCCGGAGCUAACGCGUUAAAUAUGCCGCCUGGGGAGUACAGUCGCAGGGCUGAA
rnacentral:rRNA from 1 species